UCAGGCAGAGUGGGGGAAGAUGUGUGAAUUACAAAGUCCAUUAGCAGCCCUCCUUUGCUACAUGGCUGUGAGCUUUUAAUGAAAGAACCCCAAAGAGGCUUUGAAAGUCGUGCAAGAGGGAAGAUGAACCAGAUGGCUCCUCUGCAAAAUUGAGAUUGGAUUUUAGGGCUUCAUAUGAUUUACAAGACGUUGUUUCCCGCUGGCAGCAGAUUAUCUGCACACUUGCAAGGAGGACAUUUGGAAAAAGCCAGAAGUGGAGUGACACCAAGCGGCACAGUUACCCCGGUCCAUAUGAGGACAACAAACAAGUGCUUCAACAGAAGAGUGCUUUGACAGAGUGCAGUUAGAGAUGUUCUCCCUCAUGAGCUCGAGGUUCCUUGCCUCCACCCUGUGCAUCCUUCUGAAGCAGGCAGGGGCUGUGAGAGCUGCCCCGCUGCCACCCCCGGAGCAGGUGUGACUCAGCCAUGCAGUUUGGAGGCUCUUUGUGCAGUUUGGAGGAGGAUGAGUCACAGAAGGAGCGGGUAGAGGCUCAGCUGGCAGGAUCAGUGCGCUGAAGGUCCACGGCUUCCUACGGCAAUCCCACCGCUGGCAGUGCACCGUGGAUGUGGGGCGACUGAUCUGAGAGGUAAUGCAGUGCUGUGGUACAAGAGUUAUACAUCAAGAAGGCAUCACAGAUGGAAAACUUUGCAAAUUCAGACUUCCAAGAUUGACCCAAAGACUGUAAAAAUGUCAGUGAACUCAGAAGCCCUGGCUUGCUUUUCACAUUUGGGUGCAGUGCUUCCCUGAUUAAGGAAACAGGUUGCCUGUGUGGGACUUGGGUUCUACCUACAACGUCCGGAGCCUGGAAUCACACUGCCCAUGAAGGAGCCAAGCAGAGAUGCACAGAGGGACAUGGCUGAGAGCAACACUUGGGACAAGGUGUAUUGAAGUCUAUCAACCACCAGCAAUGUGCUGCAGGAGGACCACAGAACUACAGGGCUGCCCUCUUCCGAACACUCACAUAACUGUUAGAGCUACCUGGCACCAGGCUUGGGCAAUGCCUUCUGUAACAGAAUGAGAAGUCUCCAGAGCCUGCUCAGAGGAUUUUCAG